AAAUUAGUCAAACGUAAACACAAAAGUCAAUAAUUUUAGGUUAGGAAAAUUUUUAAUAUACAUACCUUAUGCAAAUAAGCAUCAAAAGCAAGCUUUACUGUUACGAGUUUACAGCCUCAAUUCAAAAUUAUGUAAUAUCAUCUCAAAAAAGAAACUGUACUAAUGUUAAUGUAUUUACAGAUGAUCUGUAAACCACAAAAUAUUCCGUACAUUUAUUUUUUGUGGCCCCACUUCCAACCGAGAGGUUGUGAGUUCGACUCUCCCCAAAAACAAGGUGGAAAAUUCUUGAAGGGAAGGAUGCCGUGAGUCUAUUUGAAAACAGCCUCUCUACCGAAGUGUAGGGGUAAGGUCUGCGUACAUACUAACCUCUCCAGACCUCAUUAAGUGAGAUUAUACUGGGUUGUUGUUGUUAUUUUUUGUGGCCCCAGAGUGUUAGGCAUUUUAGUAGAUUUCAGAUUCUUCUCAUUCUUUACCUACUUUUUUCAAGUUAUUUUGCUAUAAUUAAUGGUAUCAUCUGCCAGAGCAACCAACACUCUUAUAGAACAAAAUAUCUAUACAAGAAUUAAAUCUACUCAUUGACUCAUCAUAUAAUUCUAAUUAUAACACACCAAAUACCAAUUUAUUCACUUCUUGGGGUCUCCAAUCUGCAUAAAACUCUGAGUUUAUUACUAGAAUGAAUAUCCAAAAAAGUUGUGUAGAACAGGAGAAAAUCAUCCAAAUAGAGCUGAGAUACCAUCACGUUGACUAGAUUAAUGAAAUAUGUGUAUACAUACGUAGAAAGUAAGUGGAGAAAUAUCAAGUCAGCAGACAACUUCCCAUUUGUUUGUUCUGCUUCAGUCCAAAAGUCGAAACACACCCAAUUUUCUAUUACAUAAAUCCCAAAUAGCACAAAAGAAUACUUAAAAUAAAUAUUUAAAAAAAGGUCAUCCUACCAGAAACAAGAAGAUGAACACCCAGUAGUAUAACAAUUAUUACUGGAAUUAUGAAGUCGGCGAAAAACCCUUCUUCUUCUGUAACCAAAGAUACCAUAUUUGAGCCUCAACCAAACCAAUUUUCUGAUUUUUCUUGCUGAUUUGAGCUUUACCCAUAUCACCCUUUUCACUCUAAAGAAAGAAUUUUUCAUCUUCUCAGUUACACUCUGCUUCCUGCUAAAUUGGUAGCUUCUCAAGAAAAGCUGCCUCUUUUCUAAGUCAAUGUACCCUGUUUCUGUUCUGAACAUGUUUACUGCCCCAUAAGAUAUCUGUUUUACAGCCAUAUUGUCCAUCGAAUACAUAACAAAUAUACUGAUCUUCUGUAUAUAUAUGUUGAGAGAGAAAGUAAGAGAGAGAAAUAGGAGUUUAAUUUGCAGUGGGAGAAAGAAUUAGGAGGUAGUGGUAUAUAAUGGUGGUGAUAUAUAGGUGAAGAGAGAGGGUUAGUUGGAGUCUGAAUGCUCUUUAUAUUUUAGGCCAUGCUCUGUAUUCAUUAAUUUAAUGCCAUCGUGGGGAUGUGCCUAGAUUUUAAAUGUAAUCGACUUCUUUUUUCCUUUUUUUUUCUUUUUUUCUUUCCUUUUUUUUUUGUUUUCCAUUAAAUUUCAUUUCUUAUUCAUUGUUAAUGCUUUUCUUUACAAAGAAAUUUUUUGAUUUCUAAUAUUUUGAAAAAAUAUUUAAGGUAUUUUAGUUAUUUUAAUAAAAGAAUAGCUUAUCAUUAUUUUUUAAUCCAAUACGUCAACGGCUUAUUAUCUCUAUCCAAACAUUUAAAUACUUAUUUUAAAAAUUAAUUUCAACACUUAAAAAAUUUUCAGCACUUCAAAGCUAUCAUUUACAAACAAAUCUUCUUUUUUUUUCUUAAUUACUAUAUUUCUGCCUUUUGUUUUAAGUGGACACGUGAAUUUGUGGGUGUCCUGAGAAAUUAGAGCAAGGUUUGGAGAGAGAAUCACGUGACUUGGAAGGAGUUGUUUUUGUUAGUUUUUGCAUGUUUGGCAAUUUGAGCAGUUAGGAUCUGUUUU
rnacentral:lncRNA from 1 species